rnacentral:rRNA from 1 species
UAGAGUUUGAUCCUGGCUCAGGAUGAACGCUGGCGGCGUGCUUAACACAUGCAAGUCGAACGAACCUUCGGGUUAGUGGCGGACGGGUGAGUAACGCGUGAGAAUCUGCCCUCAGGAGGGGGACAACAGCUGGAAACGGCUGCUAAUACCCCAUAUGCCGCGAGGUGAAAUGAAUUUCGCCUGAGGAUGAGCUCGCGUCUGAUUAGCUAGUUGGUGUAGGUAAUGGCUCACCAAGGCAUCGAUCAGUAGCUGGUCUGAGAGGAUGAUCAGCCACACUGGGACUGAGACACAGCCCAGACUCCUACGGGAGGCAGCAGUGGGGAAUUUUCCGCAAUGGGCGAAAGCCUGACGGAGCAACGCCGCGUGAGGGAUGAAGGCCUCUGGGCUGUAAACCUCUUUUAUCAAGGAAGAAGAUCUGACGGUACUUGAUGAAUAAGCCACGGCUAAUUCCGUGCCAGCAGCCGCGGUAAUACGGGAGUGGCAAGCGUUAUCCGGAAUUAUUGGGCGUAAAGCGUCCGCAGGCGGCCCUUCAAGUCUGCUGUUAAAAAGUGGAGCUUAACUCCAUCAUGGCAGUGGAAACUGUUGGGCUUUGANUGUGGUANGGGCAAA